AUGCAUUAUAAGAAAACCGAUUCACCUGCAUUAAACCAUAUGGUCCAUUCAAACAAAAUUCAACAUAAAUUUAGAACAAGCAAUACGUCAGUUGGAGACCAGCAGAAGUUACUCAUGAACUCAGGCCAUUUUGGUUCAGUAGAAAAUAUAGAGGGAGAUAAUGUUGGUCCAGAAAAUAAAAUAAAAUAA